CCAUAUUAUUUAAAGAGAAAAUGAGAAAGAUGAUGAUUCUGAGGCCACCCUAUCCCAGCCAUAUUAUUCACAUAUCGAGUCCCAACAGCAACAGUGUAGGGAUGAGCACGACAGUGCAAGUGAGCAUGAAGGAUGGACAAUCUUCGGGGAUUUUAGAUUGAAAACACAACAAAACACUAACACUCAGGGAUUUGGGAAUAGUCAGACGUCUGCUAAUA
rnacentral:lncRNA from 1 species